rnacentral:rRNA from 1 species
GACGAACGCUGGCGGCGUGCCUAAUACAUGCAAGUAGAACGCUGAAGAGAGGAGCUUGCUCUUCUUGGAUGAGUUGCGAACGGGUGAGUAACGCGUAGGUAACCUGCCUUGUAGCGGGGGAUAACUAUUGGAAACGAUAGCUAAUACCGCAUAACAAUAGGUGACACAUGUCAUUUAUUUGAAAGGGGCAAUUGCCCCACUACAAGAUGGACCUGCGUUGUAUUAGCUAGUAGGUGAGGUAACGGCUCACCGAGGCGACGAUACAUAGCCGACCUGAGAGGGUGAUCGGCCAAGCUGGGACUGAGACACGGCCCAGACUCCUACGGGAGGGAGCAGUAGGGGAUCUUCGGCAAUGGGGGCAAUGCUGACCGAGCAACGCCGGGUGAGUGAAGGAGGUUUUCGGAUCGUAAAGCUCUUGUGUAAGUCAAGAACGAGUGUGAGAGUGGAAAGUUCACACUGUGACGGUAGCUUACCAGAAAGGGACGGCUAACUACGUG